rnacentral:tRNA from 1 species
GCCCUCAUAGUAUAGCUUGGAUAGAAUGCGAGCUUGCGGAGCUUGAGACCUGGGUUCGAACUAGCCUUUUCUUUUCUCAAAAGAAAAGCCUAAGAUUGCCAAAAGAAAACCAAAGGCUUUCAGCAUAUUAUUUCAUGAUAAAAGCUACGAACAUCCCAGUGGGGGCA